rnacentral:rRNA from 1 species
CCUACGGGUGGCAGCAGUGAGGAAUAUUGGUCAAUGGCCGAGAGGCUGAACCAGCCAAGUCGCGUGAGGGAAGCAUGUCCUAUGGAUUAUAAACCUCUUUUGUCAGGGAGCAAAUUCACCCACGUGUGGGUUUUGGAGAGUACCUGCAUAAAAAUCAUCGGCUAACUCCGUGCCAGCAGCCGCGGUAAUACGGAGGAUGCGAGCGUUAUCCGGAUUUCUUGGGUUUAAAGGGUGCGUAGGCGGGUUAUCAAGUCAGCGGUAAAAUCGUGGAGCUCAACUCCAUCCAGCCGUUGAAACUGAUGAUCUUGAGUGGGCGAGAAGUAUGCGGAAUGCGUGGUGGAGAGGUGAAAUGCAUAGAUAUCACGCAGAACUCCGAUUGCGAAGGCAGCAUACCGGCGCCAGACUGACGCUGAAGCACGAAAGCGUGGGUAUCGAACAGGAUUAGAUACCCUUGUAGUC